rnacentral:rRNA from 1 species
GACGAACCUUGCUAACGUUAUUCGGAAUUACUGGGCUUAAAGGGUGCGUAGGCGGUGCAGAAAGUUGGGUGUGAAAGCCCUCGGCUCAACCGAGGAAUUGCGCCCAAAACUACUGCACUAGAGGAAGACAGAGGUACGCGGAACUUAGGGUGGAGCGGUGAAAUGCGUUGAUAUCCUAAGGAACACCGGUGGCGAAGGCGGCAUCCUGGACCGGUAUUGACGCUGAGGCGCGAAAGCCAGGGGAGCAAACGGG